CGUGUAGGCGGCUCUGCAAGUCGGGUGUGAAAGCCCUGGGCUCAACCCAGGAAGUGCACUCGAAACUGCAGGGCUGGAGUCCCGGAGAGGAAGGCGGAAUUCUCGGUGUAGAGGUGAAAUUCGUAGAUAUCGAGAGGAACACCGGUGGCGAAGGCGGCCUUCUGGACGGCGACUGACGCUGAGACGCGAAAGCGUGGGGAGCAAACA
rnacentral:rRNA from 1 species